rnacentral:rRNA from 1 species
UCGGGAAUUUUGGGCAAUGGGCGCAAGCCUGACCCAGCAACGCCGCGUGAAGGAUGAAAUCCUUCGGGAUGUAAACUUCGCAAGAACAGGAAGAAUAAGUAAGAGUUAAUAUCUCUUACGAUGACGGUACUGGUUGUAAGCUCCGGCUAACUCCGUGCCCGCAGCCGCGGUAAUACGGAGGGAGCUAGCGUUGUUCGGAAUUACUGGGCGUAAAGAGUGCGUAGGCGGUCCCUUAAGUUUGGUGUGAAAUCUCCCGGCUCAACUGGGAGGGUGCGCCGAAAACUGGGGGGCUUGAGUGUCGGAGAGGUACGCGGAAUUCCUGGUGUAGCGGUGAAAUGCGUAGAUAUCAGGAGGAACACCUGUGGUGUAGACAGCGUACUGGACGAUAACUGACGCUGAGGCACGAAAGCGUGGGUAGCAAA